GGGUUGGAAUUUGAGGUACAAAAUCGCCAUUGAGGCUGCUAAAGGCCUAUGCUACCUCCACCAUGAUUGUUCACCAUUGAUCGUUCAUCGAGAUGUAAAAUCCAACAAUAUUCUGUUAAAUUCGAGCUUCGAAGCACAUGUUGCAGAUUUCGGAUUAGCAAAAUUCCUUAUUGAUGGGGGAGCAUCAGAAUGUAUGUCAGCAAUUGCAGGGUCUUAU
rnacentral:misc_RNA from 1 species